UUCAGUUCCUCACCUGCUCAAAACAAUGUGACACAAAAACACGUGUGCCCAUGCGCGGGCUUUUUUCCAAGCUGACUUCCUGUCAGGAGGAUGACAUUAUUUAUAUGCAGAUUUCCUCCUGCUGUUGUGCUGUAUUGUUCGACUUUCAAUAAGAAGUAAUUAGCUGCAGAUCCGUGUGGAUGAGGCUAUCACCUUCAAGUUGAUUUGUCAUUCAUAGCACAGGCGUCAAAAUGAAAGAAAGCCUGUAAUAACAGAUCUCCAACGACCAAACAGCCAAGAAAAACUCCUCACGUUUUCCUGAGGGCGGCUACACCACAUCACCAAAAGUAUCCAGACGCCUGAACAUUAACCAGCAUGUGAAUGAUGAAUGCUUCAUUCUAAUCCAGGGGCAGGCUGGUUUGCUCAGAGUCUUUGGGCUCGUGUAUAUUUGUGCUUAGAGAGUUUUCAUCCCUGUAGUGCAGCUUCAGACCACGUUGUAGUUUUUAUCAGUCUGACAGCUGCUGCUCUUGAGUGUUGCAACACUUACUGCAAUGUUUUCCUCCCAUCUCUCCCAUAAUUGUGUUAUGUUUGCAGUGUAGUUUGUCUGUCUCAGAGGGACGUCUUCACGAGGUGUGCGGCCCUACGAGGACGUGGAGUCUCCUGGACAGCAGCAGUUCUAAAAGUCUGGUGGACGCUGCACUGAAAUGAAGAUGACUUCGAUGUGAUGCUGGAGUGGAGUUUACCACUAACUCUUUUGGUUUCCUCACAACACUUACAGCUACUUUCUACUUUACUUUCCAUUUCCAGUGGAAGCAGCCAGAGCAGCACUUCCCUUUUCAACAUGUGGUUCUGGAAUGAAAGGAUGGACAGACACAGCGAAACAAAGGGCCACAGGAGGCUGGAAUCAGUCCCAGCCCGUACAGACGGUUUACCUUCCCCACAGAAUCCCUUGGUGAACUGGAGUGCCAGGACCAAACGGAGAGAGGACCCAGCAGGGCUGCAGAUGUGACAGCUGUGUCCCUCCCUGCAGCGAUGACCGCCGCUCACGUUUCAUACGCUGAAAUGUUGUGCUUUGUCUGCCUUCAUCUGCUUCUGUCACCUCCACAAUGAGCCGCACUGGUUUUACUUUAAAGGCCAAAGGCUCAGAGAGAAUUUUGAUGUGAGGUCUUCUUUCUGUUUUUGCUCUGUGUUGCAGUAAUAAAAGCCUGAAACUCCA